CAACUAUGAGGCUUAGAAAAAAAGACAUU
rnacentral:piRNA from 1 species